UGAGCUUCUAGACGCCAAGAAUUCUACAAGAAGAAGAGGAAGAACGUAGUGAUGAAACGCACUCUGUACAAGAUCUAAGCAGAGAGGAGCGUCACCACCUUCGAAACCACCUAAGACACGACGAUGUCUGACUCCACCACGCAUUGCUCAGUAUACUCCUUCACCAGCUCCACGCUCAAGGUGUUGUGGCAGAACUCAGCCAUGGGCUUCCAGAGAGGUGGAUCCAGGAACAUCUGGCACAUCACGUGACCCUUCAGUGUGGCAGUGUGGUGCUGCAGGUGGCACAGGAACUGUUGCCGAGCCAGGUCCAGGUCUUUACCAAACAUGUCAAUGUUUAGGUAAUACCUGGUUUAAAAAAAGUGGACCAGUUCACUGAUUGUAAAGUGUUUCUUAUUCUGAAAAUGAAUAACAUAAUAACUUGCACUCUUAAAUACUAUGUGUAGUUUCUAAUAAAUGAGCAAUUCUGCUACCAUCCAA